rnacentral:rRNA from 1 species
GACGGAGGGUGCUAGCGUUGUUCGGAUUUACUGGGCGUAAAGGGCGCGUAGGCGGCCCUGUCAGUCGGGUGUGAAAGCCCGGGGCUCAACCCGGAACGGCACCCGAGACGGCAGGGCUGGAGACCGGGAGAGGAGGUGGAAUAGCCAGUGUAGAGGUGAAAUUCGUAGAUAUUGGCUGGAACACCGGUGGCGAAAGCGGCUCUCUGGCCCGGUUCUGACGCUGAGGCGCGAAAGCGUGGGAGCAAACAGGG